rnacentral:rRNA from 1 species
GAUGAACGCUGGCGGCGUGCCUAAUACAUGCAAGUCGAGCGAACAGACGAGGAGCUUGCUCCUCUGACGUUAGCGGCGGACGGGUGAGUAACACGUGGAUAACCUACCUAUAAGACUGGGAUAACUUCGGGAAACCGGAGCUAAUACCGGAUAAUAUAUUGAACCGCAUGGUUCAAUAGUGAAAGACGGUUUUGCUGUCACUUAUAGAUGGAUCCGCGCCGCAUUAGCUAGUUGGUAAGGUAACGGCUUACCAAGGCAACGAUGCGUAGCCGACCUGAGAGGGGGAACGGCAAAAGAGGAAAUGAGACACGGCCCAGAACCCAAGGGGGGGCAGGAGUAGGGAAUCUUCCGAAAGGGGGGAAAGCCUGACGGGGAAACGCCGGGGGAGGGAAGAAGGUCUUCGGAUCGUAAAACUUUUUUAUGAGGGAAAAAAAAAUGGGUAAGUAAAUAGGCACGUUUUGAGGGUACCUAAUAAGAAAGCCACGGUUAACUAAGU